GGGAGGGGAAACAGCCGCGAUAGGGCACGGAACACCGCCGGUAUAGGAAAGGAAACACCCCGGGACAGGGUGGGGAACACCGCUGGGGAAGGGAACACUGCCGAGAGAGGAGAGGGGGCCCAGCCGGGAUAGGUCAGGAACACUGCUGAGACAAGAAAGGGCGCACUGCCAGGAUAGGGCAGGGACACCUCCGGGAUGGGAUGGAAAGACCUCCUGGGCAGACAGUGUCGGGAACAGGGCAGGAGACACCGGUGGGACAUAGCAGGGGGCACCAGUGUGACAGCAGGUGGCAGCGCAGAGACAGGGUGGGUGGGAAAACACCGGGACGGAGCAGGGGACAUCGCCGGGACGAGAAUUAGGAAAAGAAUCUGCAAGAGAAGAUCAGUUCCAUCAUGUCAGGAUAUUUUUUUGAGCAUCCAAAGAUAAACUUCCCUUUGAAUCUGUCACUAAGAAGCUAACAGGAGUAACUUACAGCACAUCUCAGCUCCUUGUCAAGAUAAGACAAACACAAUGCACUGUGUCAAGAUAAGAGGAUCAGAACCUGUUUGAAAUCAGCACAGAAACUGCUGAAUCAGCCAACGAAGGACUGCUCAUGCUCCAGAAAGAAAGGUGACAAGUGCAUUGUUGACGAAGACUACUAACCUUCAUCAGAAAGACCCCCCGAGGAAGAAGAGGAGCCUUCCUCAGUGCGACCACCAGGGUACACAGCGCCUGCGUGGCAUGUAUACUAAUGAUAUUAAUGACUUCCGAUAAGUAAUUUGUACAACCACUCCUAUCCCAAGGAACGUGAUGAAUAUUCAUUAAUUUUACCCAUCUGCUGUGCUGUAUGGAGUGCUAUGUGUGUGUGUUAGGAGGAGCGAUCCCCCCACACACCCAGCACACUGAAUAAAGCAAAUGACCACUUCUCUGA